GACACAUCGGGCGAUGAGGCUCGCCGUAACCGCGCCGAUGCGGCGCUGAUGACCUCUGCGUGACC
rnacentral:ncRNA from 1 species